rnacentral:rRNA from 1 species
AAUGAACGCUGGCGGUAUGCCUAACACAUGCAAGUCGAACGGCAGCACAGUAAGAGGUUGCUCUUACGGGUGGCGAGUGGCGGACGGGUGAGGAAUGUAUCGGAAUCUUCUUUGACGUGGGUGAUAACGUAGGGAAACUUACGCUAAUACCGGAUAUGACCUACGGGUGAAAGCAGGGGAUCUUCGGACUUUGUGCGAGUGAAUGAGCAGAUGUAGGAUUAGAUAGUUGGCGGGGUAAAGGCACAGCAAGGCGACGAUGGGUAGCUGGUCUGAGAGGGUGAACACCCAGACUGGAAGAGAGAAACAGCCCAGACACCUGCGGUAGGCAACAGCGGAGAAUACUACGCGAUGCGGCAGAGCCGGAUCCAGCACUACCGCGUGAGUGAUGAAGGCCUUAGGCUUCUAAAGUCAUUUUGUUGGGAAAGAUAAACAGCUCUUUUAUACCCCACUAUACUGACGGUACCCAAAGAAUAAGCACCGGCUAACUUCGUG